rnacentral:antisense_RNA from 2 species
UCUCGCUGUAGGUAGGCUAAGGCAUCAGCCGCAAAGCGGCUGAUGCCUUAGCCUACCUACAGCCAUU